UACGGAGGGUGCAAACGUUGCUCGGAAUCAUUGGGCGUAAAGCGCACGUAGGCGGCCUGUUAAGUCGGGUGUGAAAGCCCCGGGCUCAACCUGGGAAUUGCAUUCGAGACUGCAUGGCUAGGAUGCGGAAGAGGGAAGCGGAAUUUCCGGUGUAGCGGUGAAAUGCGUAGAUAUCGGAAGGAACACCAGUGGCGAAAGCGGCUUCCUGGUCCAGCAUCGACGUUCAGGCACGAAAAGCGUGGGGAGCAAACAGGG
rnacentral:rRNA from 1 species